UACGUAGGGAGCGAGCGUUGUCCGGAUUCAUUGGGCGUAAAGAGCUCGUAGGCGGCUUGGUAAGUCGGAUGUGAAAUCUCCAAGCCUAACUUGGAAACUGCAUUGGAUACUAUCCGGCUAGAGGAAUGGAGGGGAGACUGGAAUACUUGGUGUAGCAGUGAAAUGCGUAGAUAUCAAGUGGAACACCAGUGGCGAAGGCGAGUCUCUGGACAUUUCCUGACGCUGAGGCACGAAAGCCAGGGGAGCAAACGGG
rnacentral:rRNA from 1 species